rnacentral:rRNA from 1 species
CCUACGGGAGGCAGCAGUGAGGAAUAUUGGUCAAUGGCCGCAGGCCUGAACCAGCCAAGUCGCGUGAGGGAUGACGGUCCUACGGAUUGUAAACCUCUUUUUCAGGGAGCUAAGGGCGCCACGUGUGGCGCUUUGCGAGGAACUGAAGAAAUAGCAUCGGCUAAAUCCGUGCCAGCAGCCGCGGUAAUACGGAGGAUGCGAGCGUUAUCCGGAUUUAGUGGGGUUAAAGGGUGCGCAGGCGGAAUGUAAAGUCAGCGGGAAAAUUUCGGGGGUCAACCCCGUCGUGCCGUUGAAACUGGCGUCCUUGAGUGAGCGAGAGGUAUGCGGAAUGCGUGGUGUAGCGGUGAAAUGCAUAGAUAUCACGCAGAACUCCGAUUGCGAAGGCAGCAUACCGGCGCUCAACUGACGCUCAUGCACGAAGGCGUGGGUAUCGAACAGGAUUAGAUACCCGGGUAGUC